rnacentral:rRNA from 1 species
UAGUUCGGGAUAGCCACUGGAAACGGUGAUUAAUACCGGAUACUCCUUCUUGUUAUAAGACAAGUCGGGAAAGUUUUUCGCUAAGGGAUCAGUCUAUGUUCCAUCAGCUUGUUGGUGAGGUAAUGGCCCACCAAGGCUAUGACGGAUAUCUGGUUUGAGAGGAUGAUCAGACACACUGGAACUGAGACACGGUCCAGACUCCUACGGGAGGCAGCAGUGAGGAAUAUUGCACAAUGGAGGAAACUCUGAUGCAGCAACGCCGCGUGGAGGAUGACGCAUUUCGGUGUGUAAACUCCUUUUAUUAGGGAAGAUAAUGACGGUACCUAAUGAAUAAGCACCGGCUAACUCCGUGCCAGCAGCCGCGGUAAUACGGAGGGUGCAAGCGUUACUCGGAAUCACUGGGCGUAAAGGGUGCGUAGGCUGGCUUUUAAGUCAGAUGUGAAAUCCAAUGGCUCAACCAUUGAACUGCAUUUGAAACUGAAAGCCUAGAGUUCAGAAGGGGCAGAUGGAAUUAGUGGUGUAGGGGUAAAAUCCGUAGAUAUCACUAGGAAUAUCAAAAGCGAAGGCGAUCUGCUGGGAUGAUACU